GGUGAGAUGGCCGAGUGGUUAUGGCGCUGCGUUCAGGAGGCUUGUGCAAACAAGUAGGUAUCAAACUCUGAACAAAUUUCGCAGUGGAGCAAUCCGCGUGGGUUCGAGUCCCACUCUCAUCA